rnacentral:rRNA from 1 species
AUUGCACGCUGGCGGCAGGCCUAACACAUGCAAGUCGAACGAGUGGCGGACGGGUGAGUAAUGUCUGGGAAACUGCACGAUGGAGGGGGAUAACUACUGGAAACGGUAGCUAAUAUCGCAUACCAUCGGAUGUGCCCAGAUGGGAUUAGCUAGUAGGUGGGGUAACGGACCACCUAGGCGACGAUCCCUAGCUGGUCUGAGAGGAUGCCCAGCCACACGUGAACUGAGACACGGUCCAGCCUCCUACGGGAGGCAGCAGUGGGGAAUAUUGCACAAUGGGCGCAAGCCUGAUGCAGCCAUGCCGCGUGUAUGAAGAAGGCCUUCGGGUUGUAAAGUACGUUCAGCGAGGAGGCGUUACUCGCAGAAGAAGCACCGGCUAACUCCGUGCCAGCAGCCGCGGUAAUAC